UUAUUGAUAUGCUUAAGUUCAGCGGGUAUCCCUACCUGAUCCGAGGUCAACCUGAAAAAAUAGAUUGAGGGGGGUCGGCUGGCGCCGGCCGGGCCUACAAGAGCGGGUGACGAAGCCCCAUACGCUCGAGGACCGGACGCGGUGCCGCCGCUGCCUUUCGGGCCCGCCCCCCCAGCGCGGGGGGGGGCGGGGGCCCAACACACAAGCCGUGCUUGAGGGCAGCAAUGACGCUCGGACAGGCAUGCCCUCCGGAAUACCAGAGGGCGCAAUGUGCGUUCAAAGACUCGAUGAUUCACUGAAUUCUGCAAUUCACAUUAGUUAUCGCAUUUCGCUGCGUUCUUCAUCGAUGCCGGAACCAAGAGAUCCGUUGUUGAAAGUUUUAACUAAUUUAGCUAGUUUCUCAGACUGCAACUUCAGACAGCGUUCACAGGUGUCUUCGGCGGGCGCGGGCCCGGGGGCGGAAGCCCCCCGGCGGCCGUGAGGCGGGCCCGCCGAAGCAACAGGGUUCGGAAAACACGGGUGGGAGGUUGGACCCAGAGGGCCCUCACUCGGUAAUGAUCCUUCCGCAGGUUCACCUACGGAAACCUUGUUANNACUU
rnacentral:misc_RNA from 1 species